rnacentral:rRNA from 1 species
GCAGGCUGCAACUCGCCUCGCAUGAAGUCGGAAUUGCUAGUAAUCGCGGAUCAGCAUGCCGCGGUGAAUACGUUCUCGGGCCUUGUACACACCGCCCGUCACACCAUGAGAGUUGGAGAUACCCGAAGCCUGUGAGCUAACUUUUAGAGGCAGCAGUCGAAGGUAGAAUCAAUGAUUGGGGUGAAGUCGUAACAAGGUAUC